rnacentral:misc_RNA from 1 species
AAUUUCAUUUCAAAUUAUCGUGACUUAAUAUUCAGUGAAUUACGUUGGUGUUCUGUGAGAAAUUGUUUUUUCUUUUUUAAUUUAUGCGUAUCGUUUUAGGUGUCUAAGUAUUUCAAAUAUAUCUGCACAAAUUGCGUCGAAAAAUUGGAAAAGUCUUACACAUUUAAAAGUCAAACGAUUAAAACGAUAGACACGUUGCAAACUAUUAAAGAUGAAGAAUAUCUAGACGAGGCGAUAUUGGAAGAUGAAGAAGAUGAGGUUGGAUCUAAAAAAGGUGUAAAGAAACUCGGUGACUGCGGUGAUGACGAAAAUGAUGAUG